CGGCGAACGGGUGAGUAACACGUGGGCAACCUGCCCCUAGCUCUGGGAUAACUCCGGGAAACCGGUGCUAAUACCGGAUACGACCUCAAUGGGCAUCUUCUGAGGUGGAAAGAUUUAUUGGCUAGGGAUGGGCCCGCGGCCUAUCAGCUUGUUGGUGGGGUAACGGCCUACCAAGGCGACGACGGGUAGCCGGCCUGAGAGGGCGACCGGCCACACUGGGACUGAGACACGGCCCAG
rnacentral:rRNA from 1 species